rnacentral:rRNA from 1 species
AUUCAACGCUGGCGGCAGGCCUAACACAUGCAAGUCGAGCGGAGCGGCGGACGGGUGAGUAAUGCCUAGGAACCUGCCUGGUAGUGGGGGAUAACGUCCGGAAACGGGCGCUAAUACCGCAUACUAUCAGAUGAGCCUAGGUCGGAUUAUCUAGGUGGUGGGGUAAAGGCCUACCAAGGCGACGAUACGGAAAUGGUCUGAGAGGCUGAUCAGUCAAAUUGUACGUGCGACACGGUCCAGACUCCUCCGGGAGGUAGCAGUGGGGAAUAUGGGAAAAUGGGCGAAAGCCUGAGCCAGCCAUGCCGCGUGUGUGAAGGAGGUCUUCGGAUUGUAAAGCACUUUAAGUUGGGAGGCGUUACCAACAGAAUAAGCACCGGCUAACUUCGUGCCAGCAGCCGCGGUAAUAC